GAUGAACGCUAGCUACAGGCUUAACACAUGCAAGUCGAGGGGCAUCAGGAAGAAAGCUUGCUUUCUUUGCUGGCGACCGGCGCACGGGUGAGUAACACGUAUCCAACCUGCCCUUUACUCGGGGAUAGCCUUUCGAAAGAAAGAUUAAUACCCGAUGGCAUAAUGAUUCCGCAUGGUUUCAUUAUUAAAGGAUUCCGGUAAAGGAUGGGGAUGCGUUCCAUUAGGUUGUUGGUGAGGUAACGGCUCACCAAGCCUUCGAUGGAUAGGGGUUCUGAGAGGAAGGUCCCCCACAUUGGAACUGAGACACGGUCCAAACUCCUACGGGAGGCAGCAGUGAGGAAUAUUGGUCAAUGGGCGCUAGCCUGAACCAGCCAAGUAGCGUGAAGGAUGAAGGCUCUAUGGGUCGUAAACUUCUUUUAUAUAAGAAUAAAGUGCAGUAUGUAUACUGUUUUGUAUGUAUUAUAUGAAUAAGGAUCGGCUAACUCCGUGCCAGCAGCCGCGGUAAUACGGAGGAUCCGAGCGUUAUCCGGAUUUAUUGGGUUUAAAGGGAGCGUAGGUGGACUGGUAAGUCAGUUGUGAAAGUUUGCGGCUCAACCGUAAAAUUGCAGUUGAUACUGUCAGUCUUGAGUACAGUAGAGGUGGGCGGAAUUCGUGGUGUAGCGGUGAAAUGCUUAGAUAUCACGAAGAACUCCGAUUGCGAAGGCAGCUCACUGGACUGCAACUGACACUGAUGCUCGAAAGUGUGGGUAUCAAACAGGAUUAGAUACCCUGGUAGUCCACACAGUAAACGAUGAAUACUCGCUGUUUGCGAUAUACAGUAAGCGGCCAAGCGAAAGCAUUAAGUAUUCCACCUGGGGAGUACGCCGGCAACGGUGAAACCCAAAGGAAUUGACGGGGGCCCGCACAAGCGGAGGAACAUGUGGUUUAAUUCGAUGAUACGCGAGGAACCUUACCCGGGCUUAAAUUGCAGUGGAAUGAUGUGGAAACAUGUCAGUGAGCAAUCACCGCUGUGAAGGUGCUGCAUGGUUGUCGUCAGCUCGUGCCGUGAGGUGUCGGCUUAAGUGCCAUAACGAGCGCAACCCUUAUCUUUAGUUACUAACAGGUUAUGCUGAGGACUCUAGAGAGACUGCCGUCGUAAGAUGUGAGGAAGGUGGGGAUGACGUCAAAUCAGCACGGCCCUUACGUCCGGGGCUACACACGUGUUACAAUGGGGGGUACAGAAGGCAGCUAGCGGGUGACCGUAUGCUAAUCCCAAAAGCCUCUCUCAGUUCGGAUCGAAGUCUGCAACCCGACUUCGUGAAGCUGGAUUCGCUAGUAAUCGCGCAUCAGCCACGGCGCGGUGAAUACGUUCCCGGGCCUUGUACACACCGCCCGUCAAGCCAUGGGAGCCGGGGGUACCUGAAGUACGUAACCGCAAGGAUCGUCCUAGGGUAAAACUGGUGACUGGGGCUAAGUCAUAACAA
rnacentral:rRNA from 1 species